AACGAACGCUGGCGGCAUGCCUAACACAUGCAAGUCGAACGAGAUCUUCGGGUCUAGUGGCGGACGGGUGCGUAAAGCGGGGGAAUCUGCCCUUUGGUUCGGAAUAACAGUUGGAAACGACUGCUAAUACCGGAUGAUGACGAAAGUCCAAAGAUUUAUCGCCAGAGGAUGAGCCCGCGUAGGAUUAGCUAGUUGGUGUGGUAAAGGCGCACCAAGGCGACGAUCCUUAGCUGGUCUGAGAGGAUGAUCAGCCACACUGGGACUGAGACACGGCCCAGACUCCUACGGGAGGCAGCAGUGGGGAAUAUUGGACAAUGGGCGAAAGCCUGAUCCAGCAAUGCCGCGUGAGUGAUGAAGGCCUUAGGGUUGUAAAGCUCUUUUACCCGGGAUGAUAAUGACAGUACCGGGAGAAUAAGCUCCGGCUAACUCCGUGCCAGCCGCCGCGGUAA
rnacentral:rRNA from 1 species